CGUUGCUAGUUGGAGACUGACACUUCUGGAGCCGAGCUAUAGCGUAAUCCUCUUCAUCAUCUACCUUAUCGCCAAGCAGUGUUGCUUCGUUUGCUGCCAUGUCGACGCCCACCAAAUCGUAUCCGUUUUCCCCUUGUCCAUGCUUUUCUCGGUCUUUAUCUCCCCCCAUACGAACUCUCUUUCCUUCUGCUUUGCUCCCUUCUCAGAAUAUCACAUUUUCCGCUAAUAACACCCCACAUAAACAAGAUAAAUUACCUUUACACUUUCUGGGUCCUCAACAUUCCACGCUUUUACUGCUCAAAUGCAACUCCCUCGCCAUCAACGACAGCUCUACAAAUUCUUUCGUCGAUUCCGGGGUGAUGCUAUUUUCACUCUUUCGAGAAAUUGGGUUCAAUGAGACUGAUACUGAAGCCCUUUUGGAUGCCCACCCAGUAAUUAACCUGACGCCAUUUGAAAUCAUACGCACACGAAUUCAUUCCUUGCAGUCCCUUGGGGUUAGCGGCCUUGCUCUUUCAAGAUUGAUUGUGAAAAGACCAGAUGUUUUAACAGCUGUGGAAAUUGAUCCCGUUGUUUGUUUUAUACUCAAGGGUGAUUUGGAAUUGGCAGGAAAAAUCAAACCUUCACAGAUUGAACAUCUUUUUAACUCAACAGAACCAAGGUUUCUUGCAGGAUUUGAAACAAAGGUUAGAUUGUUACUCCAACUUGGGAUUACCCAAGAAACGAUUGUUCACGUUCUCAACAAUGCCAACUUAACAAAGGCAUUUUGUCUCAAAUCAUUUGAAGAUAUAGAAAGAAUGCUCACUUUCUUGAACCGUUUUGGUGGUGGUGAUUUGAUUCUUCGCCGACCAGCACUUCUCAAUUAUGACCUUGAUGCACAGUUGAUUCCCAGGGUAGGAUUCCUCUUGGAUCUGAGUGGAGGUGAUGAGACUGGAACUGCAACCGUGUUGCGUAAGUUGCCAUUUGUUGUAGCAUACAGUGUUGAUCACUUAAAAGAUCAUGUAGAGUUCUUGAAGUCAUAUGCUGGCUUAAGUGAGGAGGAGAUUUUUCGAAUUGUUUUAGUUUAUCCCAAUAUGUUUAGUGCUAGCAGGAAAAGGAAAUUGCAUCCUCGAAUUGAUUUUCUAAAGCAAUGUGGGUUGAGUUCGCAUGAUAUAUUCAGGUUCUUGAUAAAAGCUCCUUUAUUUCUAAGUCUGUCAUUUGAGGGGAAUCUCGCUUACAAGCUGGUCUUUUUGGUGAAGAUUGGAUAUAAAAAGAAUACUAAGGAAUUGGCUAUGGCAAUGGGAGCUGUUACCAGGACUAGCUGCAAAAAUAUGCAAGAAGUUAUUGGCGUAUUUUUGAACUACGGCUUGACUUUUGAUGACAUUCUAGAGAUGAGCAUGAAGCAUCCUCAGGUAUUACAGUACAAUCAUGAGUCAUUGGAGGAGAAGAUGGACUACUUGGUUGAGGAGAUGGGUCGUGAAGUUUGGGAGCUAUUGGCUUUUCCUGCAUUUCUUGGGUACAAGCUUGAUGGAAGGAUUAAACACAGGUACGAAGAGAAAAAAAAGAUAUUAGGGGAAGGCAUGUCGCUCAAUAAACUUCUGAGUGUGUCUGCAGCAAGAUUCUCAACAAAAACCAAGAGGAAGCAACGAGUUCCUGCCAUUAAUGGCCUCAAUGAGAGUGAUGACUGAUUGGAAUGAUUUUUGAUACAUUAUAUGUUGUCAUAAUCAUGUGAAAACCUCUAUUAAAUGUUAAACCCAAAGGUUUGAUGGUACCGUUAGAUCAAUUCAGUUUUGCGGAUUCCUGGUUUUGCUUCUUCUGCCCGAGUAUGGAACGUGCCUAUGGACAUAUUUGCAAGGGAAUGGAAGAAAAUAUGGACAACGCUUUCUUUCAUUGGCUGAGUGAGAACAUGAUUUUAACUUUUAGGCUGUCUUUCUAAAAAGAAUAUAUGUCGUCUAUAGAAUCCAUGGAUUCGUAUCUUCUUCUCAUCAAGUGACCUCAUCUUAAGCAAUACUGUCAGAAACAUCAUAUCACUGUGUCCCUUAAGAAAUGACAAGAGUCCAAGACAAAUAACUGACGUUUUACAAGCAUUUGCGGCUCUUUGAAGACGUCAUAAUGGUUUUUAGUAGUUGUACCAUUAGGGGUCGUUUGGUUGAGUGUAUAGAAAUAAUGCUAAAUAUAGUUUAUUAGUAAUAUUUGUAUUAAUAAUGUUUGUAUUAGUUAUGCUUGCAUUACUGCUUAUGCAUUA